rnacentral:rRNA from 1 species
AUAAUGGGUCAGCGACUUAUAUUCUGUAGCAAGGUUAACCGAAUAGGGGAGCCGAAGGGAAACCGAGUCUUAACUGGGCGUUAAGUUGCAGGGUAUAGACCCGAAACCCGGUGAUCUAGCCAUGGGCAGGUUGAAGGUUGGGUAACACUAACUGGAGGACCGAACCGACUAAUGUUGAAAAAUUAGCGGAUGACUUGUGGCUGGGGGUGAAAGGCCAAUCAAACCGGGAGAUAGCUGGUUCUCCCCGAAAGCUAUUUAGGUAGCGCCUCGUGAAUUCAUCUCCGGGGGUAGAGCACUGUUUCGGCAAGGGGGUCAUCCCGACUUACCAACCCGAUGCAAACUGCGAAUACCGGAGAAUGUUAUCACGGGAGACACACGGCGGGUGCUAACGUCCGUCGUGAAGAGGGAAACAACCCAGACCGCCAGCUAAGGUCCCAAAGUCAUGGUUAAGUGGGAAACGAUGUGGGAAGGCCCAGACAGCCAGGAUGUUGGCUUAGAAGCAGCCAUCAUUUAAAGAAAGCGUAAUAGCUCACUGGUCGAGUCGGCCUGCGCGGAAGAUGUAACGGGGCUAAACCAUGCACCGAAGCUGCGGCAGCGACGCUUAUGCGUUGUUGGGUAGGGGAGCGUUCUGUAAGCCUGCGAAGGUGUGCUGUGAGGCAUGCUGGAGGUAUCAGAAGUGCGAAUGCUGACAUAAGUAACGAUAAAGCGGGUGAAAAGCCCGCUCGCCGGAAGACCAAGGGUUCCUGUCCAACGUUAAUCGGGGCAGGGUGAGUCGACCCCUAAGGCGAGGCCGAAAGGCGUAGUCGAUGGGAAACAGGUUAAUAUUCCUGUACUUGGUGUUACUGCGAAGGGGGGACGGAGAAGGCUAUGUUGGCCGGGCGACGGUUGUCCCGGUUUAAGCGUGUAGGCUGGUUUUCCAGGCAAAUCCGGAAAAUCAAGGCUGAGGCGUGAUGACGAGGCACUACGGUGCUGAAGCAACAAAUGCCCUGCUUCCAGGAAAAGCCUCUAAGCAUCAGGUAACAUCAAAUCGUACCCCAAACCGACACAGGUGGUCAGGUAGAGAAUACCAAGGCGCUUGAGAGAACUCGGGUGAAGGAACUAGGCAAAAUGGUGCCGUAACUUCGGGAGAAGGCACGCUGAUAUGUAGGUGAAGUCCCUCGCGG